rnacentral:rRNA from 1 species
UACGGAGGGUGCGAGCGUUGUCCGGAAUCAUUGGGCGUAAAGGGCGCGUAGGUGGCCUGCUAAGCGUGCGGUGAAAGUCGGGGGCUCAACCCCCGAUCGGCCGUGCGAACUGGGAGGCUUGAGCACUGUAGAGGCAGGCGGAAUUCCGGGUGUAGCGGUGGAAUGCGUAGAGAUCCGGAAGAACACCGGUGGCGAAGGCGGCUAAUCUGGCCUACACGAACUGACGAUGCAGGCACGAAAAGCGUGGGGGAGCGAACAGG